CUCCUGUGCUACAUGAUGGAACACCUCAUGUCCAAUGCAUUGUCUAAUUAGCCUAAUCAUCUUUAUGUUCAUCUUUCUCUAUUCCUCAUCAUUCGUCAUUAUAGGUUUGUCUCUUUUAUUCUCCAAAGGGUCGUGCAAAUCCUUGCAAAAUAAAAUGUUCUCUAUCAUUGGUUUCUAUAUGGCGUAAUUUAUCUCUAAAAGUAAGAUCAUCGAUCUCAAACUAUGCUCUACUAUCUAAAUUCUCCCAAAUAAAAGCAAAAUUUCUAAAAACUAACCUCGCAAAUGAAUCCGGAAUGCCGAGAAACCUUAGGAAGGCUAAACUGUCAAAAUCAGAAACUUUUGGGACCAGAUUGUCAAAAUCAAAAAGUUUUGGGGCUAAAAUUGAUUAUAAAAAUUAAAAAGUUCGGAGAUCAAAUUAAAAAAAUAAAAAGUUUUGAGGUCACCCAAAUUAUAAAAACCAAAUUUUAGGAGACUAACAUAAUUAUUAGUAAUGUUAGGGGACCAAUCUAUAGUAAUAGAAAUUAUGGACAAAACUGUAAUUUAUCGAUUAAAGUCAAUGGUCAAGGUUAAGUGGCUGAUGUGGCGCAUGAGUCAGCGCUGAUGUGGACACUCGCGUGGCAGCUAGCUGGCGCGUGAAUUCCUCUCCCGCGCGUGUGGCGCAUGUGCGCGCGUGCGCGUGCGUGAAUUCCCCCUCUGGUGCGUGACCGCGCGUGGCUGACUCCUCUCGGCGCAUGAGCAUGCGUGCAGGCGAGUGGACGCGUGUCUGAGACUGGAUCUCUCUCGUCGAUGAAUAGGCAGCGUGUGAGGGCGCGUCAGGACUUCAUUUCCAACGCGGUUUGAUGCUGGAGCUUUGUAUCGACGAGAGGAACACCCUGGUCCAAUCAAAAAUUAAUUUUGAGCACUUCUACGGACACCCAAAUUUCGACCUGGGCUUUCGAAUGCCUCAAACCUAGGCUCUAAUAUCAAGUUUUGCUCAAAACUAAUAAAACUGAUCACAAACACACAAAAAGGGACAUCAAGAUUACGUGGUUACGGAUAAGGAUGUUACGUCUAUGGAGAGAAUCAACAACUUAUAUCGAACGAAUGGAUUACAAUUGGAGACUCACCUUCGGAUCCACAACCUUUCUUACAAUCUCUCUCGUCAUUGCCUCUCAAUCUCAACUAAACGACUUGGUCUUAGCCCACAAUACAAUGAUAAGAAAAUCUAAGCACCCUACCCUCCCUUUUAUAGAUCAGGAAGGAGGUGUUAGAAUACUAACCAAAAUAACCUAAUAAUAUCCUAAUCUAACUAGGAAAAUAGAAGAUAAACAAUUCACGAGUUCAAAAUAACGCGAGAGUCACCGUACAUGGGACACUCCAUGUAAACCCCAACCGGGCUUGGGCUUAGCCUACUGGACUUGGAUUCAUCCAAUAGUAAGGCUUGGGGACUCAUCCAGAUAUAAGCCUGGACUCAACAUACUCACAUAGUCGGGUGAAGAAAAUUGCGGCUUAGCGAGACCAUUGCUAUAAUGCCGAGGAUUAUUCAGGUACAUUCUGGCGAUCGCCCAAUUUCCUAUGAUAGAAAACACCACAGGCAAACAGUCUUGGAAUUUCAGUUGAAGAGAACAUUUGCAGGUCAAAGAAUAACAGUAAUAACAGCACAUGAAAAUCUUAUAAAGAACAAAAGUAUUGGGGUUUUGGGGGCAGGGAGAGGACGAAAGUAUCUAAAAUCAUGGAAUUCCCCAUGAACAUCGGAAAAGGCGGCGCAUAUCGCUGUUUGAAAUGGAUUGCAAUGCACAUAUUUUGCAAUAAUAAAAUGAAAACCAUAUCACAAUCCGAAUUUGAUCGGGGAGACAAUGCCUAACAGGAAAUAGGUUCUAAAAUAAAACUCCUCAGAUAUGUACUAUGACAUAUAAACAUGAAAAAGUUCAAAGAAUAGAAGCCUCGUAAGAGCAUAGAGCCUUUUUGAAAAUCCUUACAAUAUUCUCAGGACUUUUUCGUUCUGCUCCAUGGGACGCGUAUCAGUUUCUAUUAAAAAAAGUAGUUGGGAUUUCUUGACGAUGAGACUACUCAAACCAGAGGAAAAUAGUCUAUUUGUUGCCCCCUAAUAGCAACUUUUCUUCUCAGCUUGCAGUGGUAGAGGCAACUGCUUUCGAGCAAAGUUCGAGUCACGGAGAGUCACCGGAGCAAUUUCGCAGCGAACGGAAGUCGAUUUGAAUUUGACCAAAAUCCUGAAGUACUCAAAAUGCGGCGUUUUGAGCAUACCACCAGAUUUCGUCUCGUCACGAGACGAAACUCCAGCCACCAAAACCGCGUAAAAGUCAACGCCGAACGAGCCCUCCGUGCCGCCUGAAGUUCAGCGCGUCAGAAUCCGCGCACCCCACGCGUGCCAAGAGGUAGAGACGACUGGAUUUCACGCGCCCCCACGCGCCCCGCACGCGCCCCACGACUCUUGCCCGUGGUAUCUGUUAAUUAGAGAAAAAGGCAUGGAAAACAUCAUUAUGAAAGUAUAGUAAAAAGAAAAGAAAAAAGGAAAAAGAGAAAAGAAAAAGAAAAGAAGUAAUGAUAAUGUUGGGAUUUUUUUUUUAAAAAAAUAAUCAAUUGACCAAUCAAACCACAGCCUUUGACCGGUCAACCCGAGCCGUUGACCGAGCCGUUGACCACGAGCCGAGCCGAGCCGGUUUGGACCGAGCCGUUGACCGUUGACCGCGUGAAUGCAAUGACGAGCGUUGACCGUUGACAGUUCAACGAAAAUUGCACUUUUUUUCUGGACUUUCUGUUAAUUACAGAUGGUCCCUGAAGUUUAGAAAAUUGAAAUUUAGUCCACUGAAGUUAUGCUUUAAUCAAUUGGUCCCAGAAGUGUUGAUUUCGAAGAAAAGCCUUUUUUGAGUUUUUCGGACAUCCGGAUUCCAUCCGCUGAGGUCGGUUGUUAAAGAUUUUGCUUCCAUUUUGGAGAAGGUAAAGAAGGCGGAGUUAAUUUGAGAGCCUUGUAAUGCUUUAGAUGUGGAUUAUGCCCCAAGAAAACCAGAGGAUGAGGAAUGAAGCUGAACAGGAAGAGCUUGGGGCAAUCAGAAAAAAAACAAUGCAUUGGACACGAUGUGUUUCCAUCAUGUAGCACAAUGAGAUGAGAGUGCAAAUCAGACAAGUAUUGAACACAGGAGUGUUCCAACAUGUAGCACGAUGAGACGAAUGCUCAUGGGUGUGCGACCAAGUUGAAGGAGAUGUACCAGGAGAAGACAUAUCAGCACAAAGCCGUUAAUGAGGAGGCUUGUAUUGAAGCUUCAGAGAGGGACGACAGUGGCAGAACAAACGAGCGAUUCCAGAGAGCCACAAGAAGAGGUCCAAAAGAAAGGCCAGAGAAAAGUCUCAAGAAGGAGGUCACAGAGGUCAAGGAAGAGGUCAAGGAAGAGAUAUCGGCAGAUGAUGGCGGGGGAGGGCAAAUCCAGGGUUGCACUUUAAGUGCUUUAUUGCGACCAGGAGGGACAAGAAGAAUUGUCCAAGAGAAACAAAGAAAAAGAUCAGUCUUCAGAGGCCACAAGCAACAACAGCAAUGAUGGCUGGGAUGUGGAGAGUGAUGUUCUCCUAGCCAGCAUCAGCCAGAUGAAGAAGUCAGAUGAUUGGGAUUCUAUUCGGAAUUGCCUUACACUUGUGCAGAAAACAGAGAGGUGUUCUCUACACAUGUAGCAUGCAAGGGACUUGUACGGAGGCAUAACGACGCGAUUGUUAGCAAAGGACAGUCCGUUUCUGCUGGCAGACGGGAGAUCCAUGAAGGUACCGGGUAGGAUGUUCAUUCAGAUGCAGCGUCAAAGCGAUGAAGCUGUUGAGUAGUGGAGGAAACUCAGGAGUUUUCAAGGAAACAGGAAGAAGAUGCAAAGAGAAGGAUAAGCUGGAAAGCUAUCCGACUGAGGAGAGAAUGUCCAGCAGGAGAGCUGCUACUCGAAAAGGCCAGGGUGUAUUAGCAAGAUGAAAUGUGCGAAAAGAAGCAACCGUUGCACGAGGCACGCCCAAAGCAAGCAAGCGCAGGAAGAGUACCUGAUGGAUGUUACUUGAAGGAUCCACAGUUGGAACAGGAGCGCAGAGGAGAUGCUUUGGAUACGUGACAGGGAAGUCUGGCCAGAACACGAGAAGGUGCAACCAGUGAAGGAUGUCCAUGAAGAAAGAUCAGAAGAGAGAGACAGAGUGCAUGCACAAAGACAGGCGCGGACGUCGCCGAAAUGAGUCUCUUCACUCAAGCUAAGUGAUGGUGAUCUCUCAGUGUGCACACAAGGGAGAGCGAGAAGAGACGGAGCCACGAUGACUUGCAAAGCGACGUUUACUUUGCAGCGCACACCAUGAGGGGGAAGUAGGGCACCUAAGUGAGGAAGGUGCAGACACUUGGUUUGGAAGUGCAUUCACUUCAGUGGGAAGUGGAGUUGCCCGUUGAAGGGGGGGUGGUCCACCCACUGGUAACGUAUCUCGGAACUGUCCUUGACCCACGCACCCGUCACCACUUACCCUUACCCAGCGAGAGCUGGACUAGGAAGUGGUCGGAUGGAAACUCAUGAAGAAUUUAGGUACCCUCCAAUGGGCUGGGAGGGGGAGAUCGGGAGAUUGGUGGAUCCAGCCCAAAUUGGAAGCCCAAGGCCAACACACAGCCCACACCCAAGCCCACCCAAAGACCAAGCCCAUGACCAAUCUACUUCUUCUUCGUCCUAAAUGUAAAUGAGAAGAGGAGACAGAAUACACGAGCAAGGGGAACCCGGACCCCCCCACCCGACAACCAGGAAAGAAGAAGAGAGAUGCUCUGGAUAGCUCAUUAAGAGAAGCUGCUGCGGCUGUGACGAAGUCGCAAUGGAGGCUUUCAGGUCCACACGAAGAGGACGGCACGAAUGAGCUCAGCCAGAGCUCAUACACAGUCUGCUGUGUGACCCCCCCCGGGCCUAAUUAAAUUGAGAAGGUUGCUUCCCCAGAGACGAGGAAGAAGGGCGGAAAGCAUUUGAUGGGUAUUGUUUGUUAUAUCCUUGGGGGAUACUGGGAGCACA
rnacentral:lncRNA from 1 species